CCCAGCUCGUCAUGCUAGAGCACUUUUUCAAUGUGCUCCCAAUGACAAGGCGUCGACGCAUUCGUAUGUCAAUCCAUAUCAACUUUCGAUGCCAUUUACUGCGCCUACCAUGGUGACCACGGGUAACGGGGAAUCAGGGUUCGACUCCGUACCGGGACCUUGGCAAACGGCUACCACAUGCAAGGAAGGCAGCAGGCGCGCAAAUGACCCACUCCCGACGCGGGGAGGUAGUGACG